rnacentral:rRNA from 1 species
UAAGGGACCGAAAUUAGAGUAGGGAAGCACACUUGGCUGAAGGCGAGAAAAGCUUUGCGUAUAGAAACAGAUGCCCGUACCGCAAACCGACACAGGUGGACAGGAAGAGAAUUCUAAGGCCAGCGGGAGAAGGGUAGUUAAGGAACUCGGCAAAUUGACUCCGUAACUUCGGAAUAAGGAGUGCUCGAAAGAGCCGCAGAGAAUAGGCCCAGGCGACUGUUUAGCAAAAACACAGGUCUCUGCCAAAUCGAAAGAUGAAGUAUAGGGGCUGACACCUGCCCUGUGCCGGAAGGUUAAGAGGAGGAGUGAGAGCUCCGAAUUGAAGCCCCGGUAAACGGCGGCCGUAACGAUAACGGUCCUAAGGUAGCGAAAUUCCUUGUCGGGUAAGUUCCGACCCGCACGAAUGGUGUAACGAUCUGGGCACUGUCUCAACUACCCACCCGGCGAAAUUGUAGUACCGGUGAAGAUGCCGGUUACCUGCGGCAAGACGGAAAGACCCCAUGGAGCUUUACUGUAGCCUGAUAUUGGGUUUCGGAAAUCUAUGUACAGGAUAGGCGGGAGACUGGGAAACAUGAGCGUCAGCUUGUGUGGAGUCGAUGUUGGGAUACCGCCCUUAGGUUUCUGGAAUUCUAACCUGCGGCCGUGAAUCCGGUCGGGGGACAUUGUCAGGUGGGCAGUUUGACUGGGGCGGUCGCCUCCGAAAAGGUAACGGAGGCGCUCAAAGGUUAGCUCAGCACGGACGGAAACCGUGCCUCUGAGUGUAAACGCAAAAGCUAGCCUAACUGCGAGGGUGACGGCCCGAGCAGUAACGAAAGUUGGAGUUAGUGAUCCGGCGGUAUGUGAAUGGAAAUGCCGUCGCUCAACGGAUAAAAGCUACCCUGGGGAUAACAGGCUGAUCUCCCCCAAGAGUCCACAUCGACGGGGAGGUUUGGCACCUCGAUGUCGGCUCAUCACAUCCUGGGGCUGUAUUCGGUCCCAAGGGUUCGGCUUCGCCGAUUAAAGUGGUACGCGAGCUGGGUUCAGAACGUCGCGAGACAGUUCGGUCCCUAUCUGUCGUGGGCGCAGGAUAUUUGAGGAGCUCUGUCCUUAGUACGAGAGGACCGGGAUGGACGUACCUCUGGUGCACCAGUUGUCAUGCCAAUGGCACGGCUGGGCAGCUAUGUACGGAACGGAUAAACGCUGAAAGCAUCUAAGCGUGAAGCCGACUCCAAGAUUAGAUAUCCCAUCGUAUAACGAGUAAGACCCCUUGAAGACUACGAGGUUGAUAGGCUGCGUGUGUAAGUGCCGUGAGGCAUUCAGCUUGGCAGUACUAAUAGGUCGAGGGCUUGAUC